AAGAGGGUUGAGCCUCACACACACAACCAGAGCAGCUUCUCAAUGGGGGGACGGAGCCAAGAGGAGACAGAACUAUCGUUCCGCUGGAGCCAAUCUCCGUCCGUGUCUGAGAAGUGAGGAGGCAAAUUAACUCCCUGUCGUCACGAGAGGGCUUUUAUCCUCACAGUAGUAAGAAGAGAGAGAAAAGGAAGAGGGAGAAAGAAGGAGAGAAAGGAGCUGCUGUCUGCGCUGAUAUAAAGGUGACCUGAGCAGCUUUCCAUCCUGUAAACCCUGGCUAGUUUGUGACAGAGUGUCGUGGCUGUGAGCUGAGGAGGUUUCUGGUGACUGCACUCUCAGGAUUUCAGACGGACAGUGAGAGGAGGGAGCCGAAACAACAGAGCUCCUCACCCUCUUAUCCUGCAGCGCUGUGCUCAUUUACACCUGGAUCUUUGUUGGGAAACCCUGGCCUCAGACUAUGGAUGGAUUUAAGACAGUGUUGUGAGUCUGUUGGACAGACGGUGAUACCGACAGCCGGGCUCUUUUUCUUCUGACCAGACAGACCACUCAGCCGCUCUGCCAUGUCCUGGUUCCUGGGCCUGUGGAUUAGCCUAGGCUUCCUGCUGCUGUGCCAGGCCACACUGUACGAGACUAUCCAGCAGCACCACGUUCCGCGGCCUGGACGCAAUGCCAUACAGAUCCUGGGAAACCAGCUGCUGACAACAACAGUAUUCCAAACCCCUUUCACCAGGAAACCAGCUGCUGACAACAACAGUAUUCCAAACCCCUUUCACCAGGAAACCAAAUCCCAACACCUGUUAAACAUUGAUGCUAUCUAUCUGUGCUUGUCUCAUUCUCCGAGCCAUGCUGCACCAUGGAGUGAAACACCAGUAAUUGAAGCACAAGGCCCAAAAAAGGCAUUUAUUUCUCCGAUGUGA
rnacentral:lncRNA from 13 species